rnacentral:rRNA from 1 species
AUUGAACGCUGGCGGCAUGCUUUACACAUGCAAGUCGAGCGGCAGCGCGGGGGCAACCCUGGCGGCGAGCGGCGAACGGGUGAAUAAUGCAUCGGAACGUAUCCUCGAGUGGGGGAUAACCCAGCGAAAGUUGGGCUAAUACCGCAUGAGCUCUGAGGAGGAAAGCGGGGGACCUGCGAGGGCCUCGCGCUGGAGGAGCGGCCGAUGUCCGAUUAGCUAGUUGGUGGGGUAAAGGCUUACCAAGGCGACGAUCGGUAGCUGGUCUGAGAGGAUGAUCAGCCACACUGGGACUGAGACACGGCCCAGACUCCUACGGGAGGCAGCAGUGGGGAAUUUUGGACAAUGGGGGCAACCCUGAUCCAGCCAUGCCGCGUGAGUGAAGAAGGCCUUCGGGUUGUAAAGCUCUUUCGGACGGAACGAAAUGGGCGGGACUAAUACUCCUGUCUGAUGACGGUACCGUAAGAAGAAGCACCGGCUAACUACGUG